ACGCGAAAGGCCCUGUGGAAAGCUCUCCGCGCGGGUUCCCUUGGCAACCCGGACGCUCUCGCUCUGUCCCGACUGGCGAUCCCAGGAAUCCCCAAAGGAUGGCUCCACUUGUGUGGUGAGAGAGUGACUCAGUGCCUUGGACGCCACCUCCAAAGGGGAAAUAUUUCCAGAUCAGAGACCACGCGGCGGUGCCAAGCCCGGGCCUAUGUGAAUACUGGAUUAUGCCUCCGAGGCCCGGCCCUCACCCCGUGCCAGCCGCCGCUUCAGAAACCAGCCAGGAGCCGAGCGGAGCCAUCGCGAAUCAAGAGGUUGAUUCUUUCCCCCCAUUAAGUCGUUUGAAACCAACGUUUCCACAUUUUUGGGGGUUUGAUGUCAUAAAAUUCCCAUGUAUG